GGUAAUCAGGAUGGCAGUGAGGCAGGCACUUGCUUGCAGAAGAACAGGCCUAGUUUUUUAAGAAGCCACAAAAGUGUCUUUGGAUGAUUAGGAUCUAAGGGGCCAACAGCUUUGCAAUAACAGCAUAAAUAUUGUGGGCUGGAUGGACAGGCACCAAAUGGGGACAUUCCAUCCUGCUGUGUGAUGAGAAAGCUGCCACUUUUGAGGCCUUCCAAAACAAAUCAACACUCCAUAUGCCAGAAGGAAAAGCCCAGGAAAGACCUAUUCCAACUGGAGAUGGUGAAUGUCAUUUCUUCAAGAAGCUGAGAUCCAGCUGGAAUACGAAGGGAGAAUGAAACAAAACUGCUCCGCUUAGGGAACUUGGAAAGGAAAUUGAAAAGGCAAGGCACAGGCUGGAAGAAAAUAUUUGAAAAAGAUUUAUGUGAACUUCUUUCUGGAUUAUACAAAAUAUUUUUAGAUAUUCUUACAACUCUAAAAUAAGAUAACUCCUUAAAAAUCUAAAUUCUACCAAAGGAGAGAUAAAGAUGACGAAUACAUUCAAAGAUGCUGAAAAUCACUUAUUUAUUAUUAGGAAGUUACAAGCUAAAGCAUAAUGAGAUACCACUACAACCUACUAAACUGACUAAAAUUAAUCAGACUAACCAGGUGUUGGCAAGAAACAGGG
rnacentral:lncRNA from 10 species